GUUCCCAGGUUAAGUUCAGGAGUGAAAGACUGUCUAGGGAAGAUCUUUCCUGAAUUCAGACAUAUUGUUACUUGCAAGUUUAGAGAUUCUAAUUCCUUUGCUCUGUAACUGUUUUUGCCCACAUUUGUAAGUUUGUACUUUCUAAUUCUGACUUUCAUUUAUUAUUAUUUCACUUGGAUUUGUGUUGCAAGAUCAGACACAUAAAUAGAUUCUCUAUAAACUGCUGGCUGUGAAUUUGUGUUUAGAGGGUGUGGUACUUGGAAUGUAAUUGGCCCCCAUAAUCCCAUAAUCUCAGGGAGUAGCGAUGUUAGGAGGUGUGGCUUUGCUGGAGUAGAUAUGGCCUUGUUGGAGGAAGUGUGUCACUGUGGGGGCGGGCUUUGAGGUUUCAUAUGCUCAGUAUGUCAAUCAACUUCCUAUUGCCUGCAAGAUGUAACACUCUCAGCUCCAGCACCACAUCUGCCUACAUGCUGCCAUUCUCCCUGCUAAAAUGGACUGAAUCACUGAACUGCACUAGCUUGGAGUUUUUCUGUUAAGACCUGAAUCCAUGAGGCUAGCAACAUGGCUCAGUAGUAAAGGAAGUAAGCUCUCCGGCUGGAAAUCUGUAGCAGAUUUUCAAACUGGGAAAUGAUAACUAUGGUGUGAAAUAAAGCUUUUUUAUUGGACAGAGCAUACAAAUGAAAGAUUAUAUUGUCACCUAUAUACCACAGGUGAGUUGUUUUACCCCCCAAAAGCAACGACUUUGCUUUGCUUUGAUGUAUGUUGAAUGAAAAGGGGAAACAACAAAAAAGAUAAACAGAUAACACACAGGACCCAGAGUGACAAUUUCUUUUGGGAUUGACAUAAAUAGCAUGUAUUGCAAACAUAACCCCAUUCACUUGUGUGAAAUAACUGGGAGGAAAAAAACACACAAUUUUCACAAAAUUGGAAAAGGAAAAGGAAGGAUUGGCUCUAGUGCUCCCUUGUCAGGUGGGUAAUUUUGUAUCAGGAGGUAGCCAUGACGACCAUAAAAGUUACUCACACGACUAACGAUGCCACUAAUGAUGCCCACAAUUACUUAAUUGCAGGCAUGCUUAACAGCUUUUGCCAUUUUUGGAGGGUGCUUGUGGAUAAUUGUGGCUGCAAGCGGUGCCCAAAGCAGAGAAUGUGUCUUCUCCAAGCCUCAAGAACCAGAUGGAGGACGGUUAUGGCUCCUGCUGGCUAGGAAACUUCUGUAGCUUUGGCUGAAUUUUGUGAAAAAUCCACCUGAUAUGGAAGUUAUGUGCCACUGUGUGCAUUUGGAGGUUAGAAGAUGACUUUGGGGAGUCAAAUUCACCUUUCACCUUGUUAAAGCAGGGUCUCUAUUUCUGCUGUACUAUAUACUCAAGACUGACUGGCCCUCGAGCUUCUGGGCCAUUCUCCUAUCCCUGCCUCCCAUCUGUCUAGCAUUGCUGGGAUUACAGAUGCACACUGAUGCAUGUGGCUUUCUGUGUCAGUUCCAGGGACUGAACUCAGGUUCUUAGACUUGUUUGGUCAAUGUUUUUACCCACUGAGGCAUAUUUCCAGUCCUGAUCCUACCUCUCUCUUAGUGCCACCAGAUUGGGGAUCAAAUUUACAUGCAUGAAUGCUGGUAGGGGACACAAAACUGAGACUGUAGUGAGUAGAUACAAAGGGGAAAUGUAGAAGUCACUUCAUGGAGAAAUAGAAGCAUUUCUAGGAACAACAAACUGCCUCUACCAAAAGGACUGUUGUCCUUUAAGGUACUCACUCACAUUUGCCUGGCCUCUGACCCACUGAGCCUUUCCCAAGUGCUGCACGUCACCUUUUUCUUGUCCCAUGAGAUAUGCUGCUUAUGUUCAAGCUAUUCUAUAUUCCACAGAUAGUAUUAUGUAGUUCAUCAUGUGUUUUAGACACUGUCUGGGCAUCGUGGUGAUUCAGUCAGUUGAACUGGAUAGUUUGUUCAUUCAAGGAAUGAUUUCCUCUGAGGAAGCCAUAUGCUCUAAUUGUCUACACUUUUUGUUAGGGGCUUGAGGUACAAGAUUUAUCUACAGCCAAGUGACAGGACUGCAAGGACUUACAAGUAAUGAGGUUGAGAAAGUGUUGGUCACCAGAACCCUCUGAGGAGGAGUGCUCGUUUGAUUAGAUGAAAUACUUUAAAACGACAUUUGGGGUGGAAGGUGAAGUCCCAAAGGCUUUCUCCAUCAUGACAGUAUAUCUGUUAAAUUGCUUUGCAUGAGAGAGGAGAGGAGCUCUAUGGCUCUUGGAUAAAGAGGUAGGAAGGCAGAGAGAUGGAAGGGGGAAAGACCUACCAUAUGCUAUGGUAGAAUGAUGACAGUUGCUCAGUGCAACCCUUCAUAGCAGAGCUAUAUCGCUGAUAAAAUAUGCUGAACUCAUUGAUCUUUAAAAGGAAGAUUUAGAUAAACUGACUUUGAAAAAUACUUGUUAUUAAAAUUGUUUGUUUAUGAUUUAAAAAAAUAACAAAAAUAUGCUGAACUAAUGACAUGUUUAAAAUGUAUGAUUGUCUUGUGGAUAUCAGUCAGGAGCUUGAGUUUGGUAUCUGGACUAAAGCUGAACCCUUCAAUGUCUCCUUCUCCCUCCAUCUCUUUCUUUCCCUCCCCUGUAUUCUUUUGUUUCCUCCCUCCUUUCCUCCUCUAUUCAAGUAUCCUACACUGUAGCAGAGAGCAGCAUGGGAGACCUGGCAGGCAGAGGUACCAGCGAGCUUGAAGAGAUUGGGUGUGGUACCCAGACAUUGCAGCCAUAGCUCAGAGGAUGGUUAAACAGUGGACUUGAACAGCUUACAAAGGCUGGAAGAAGACAACACUGUCCAAGCAAAUAAUCUCCAUCCAGACUGUUUUCCUGUCUUGUGGGAUUUGAGUGGGAAAAAGUGAGAGGUUUGAAAAUGUCUUAGAGUUCAUAAUGUGCCUGGCCCAGUUCUGGGGAUUCCAAGGAGAUAAAGAUGCUGUUACUCACCCUGAGACAGUGACUGUUCGAACACAGUAACAAAACUAUGGCGACAGGAGAAAGCAUCUGAAAGACAUGGUACCAAAAGAUGUAUUCAGAAGAUGCAAGGAGUUGCAAGGAUGUGUAAAGAAGAUUUCUUUUUGGCAGAGGAGUAAAGCAGCGGAGGUGAAGGAUUAAAGGCGGAGGGGAACUGAAGCAGAGCAGCCAUUCUCAGGGAUUAAAAUGGCUUUGUUAAUCACUUGAGGACUCUGAACUUUACCUGAAGGGGUGGGGAAACUAUGGGAUAAUUUAAAGCUGGUGAAAAUUAUGAAAAUUAUUUCCUUGUAAAGACCUCCCUGAGGGUUGGGAAGAUGGCUCAGGAGGUAACACUUGUUGUGCAAGCCUGAUGACCCCAGUUAGACCUCUGAAACUGAUGUAAAAAUGAGAUGCAGCUAUGUGUGUCUGUAAUCUAUCACUCUUACAGUGAAAUGGGAUGUGAAGACAAUAGAAUAAGCUGGAAAUAGUGAGCAGGCCAGCUAGCCUGGAGUAUGCAACAUGACAAAAACAAGUAAAACUAUGCCUCAGUGAGGUGAAGGUCAGAAUAGACUCCCCCAAAUUGUCUUCUCAUCUGUACUUGUGCUGUGUGGUACACUCACAGCGUACACACACCCUACACACUGACACACACACACACACACACACACACACACACACACACACACACACACUAAAUAUCAAUUUAAAAAUGACCUUCCUGAUUUACGUGCCACUCUCUUUGAGCUCUCAAAGUAUUCGUUUGUCCGUGUCAUAUUUGUUUCCGUCUCCGGUUGCAGUUGUCACUACUUCAUUAAAAUCUUUUGGGAAGACCGGUUAUUUUA